rnacentral:rRNA from 1 species
UACGGGGGGGGCAAGCGUUGUUCGGAAUUACUGGGCGUAAAGGGCUCGUAGGCGGCCAACUAAGUCAGACGUGAAAUCCCUCGGCUUAACCGGGGAACUGCGUCUGAUACUGGAUGGCUUGAGUUUGGGAGAGGGAUGCGGAAUUCCAGGUGUAGCGGUGAAAUGCGUAGAUAUCUGGAGGAACACCGGUGGCGAAGGCGGCAUCCUGGACCAACACUGACGCUGAGUGAGCGAAAGCCAGGG